UACGUAGGUGGCGAGCGUUGUCCGGAUUUACUGGGCGUAAAGCGUGCGCAGGCGGUGAUGUAAGACAGGUGUGAAAUCCCCGGGCUUAACCUGGGAACUGCAGUCGAGACUGUCUAGCUAGAGUAUGGGAGAGGGAAGUGGAAUUUCAGGUGUAGCGGUGAAAUGCGUAGAUAUCUGAAGGAACAUCAGUGGCGAAAGCGACUUCCUGGACCAAUACUGACGCUCAUGUGCGAAAGCGUGGGGAGCAAACAGG
rnacentral:rRNA from 1 species